UACAGAGACUGCAAGCGUUAUUCGGAUUCACUGGGCGUAAAGGGUGCGCAGGCGGCCAAGUGUGUGAGGCGUGAAAGCCCGGGGCUCAACCCCGGAAUUGCACCUCAAACUACAUGGCUAGAGCAUUGGAGAGGGUAGCAGAAUUCAUGGUGUAGCAGUGAAAUGCGUAGAUAUCAUGAGGAAGACCAGUGGCGAAGGCGGGUCUCUGGACAGUUCCUGACACUGAGGCACGAAGGCCAGGGGAGCAAACGGG
rnacentral:rRNA from 1 species